AUUCAGCUGACGAGUCCUAAACAAGACGAAACGCGAGUCAUACUGGAU
rnacentral:hammerhead_ribozyme from 1 species